CAUUGCUUUGGUAUUGGGUCACCUGCUUGCAUUAAGGGACGUUGUGAGAAAUUGGUGCUUGUACAAAGGUUGUUACUGUCUCCUGAGCUCUUGCAAAGACAAAGUUUGCAACAACCAACGCUAUUGCUUCUGAGGACCUGGAGGAGAAAUUCUUCUCAGGUGUCAGCCAUAGAAGAGGCAGGCCACCUGCUAAAUGACUCACCUGCAUUUAUCUUACUGCUGGUGGGAAUUUUGUAGCUAACCCUGUUCCUCUCUUUGCUUUGUGAGCUGGAAGCUUGGGGCCAAGUUCGCGAGCCACCUCUGUCAGCAAUGAACUCUCCAGCUUCAUUUUUUUCCUACUUAAAAUUUUCAUUUUCCUGUUUCCCUCAACAACUUAGUCCAGCAUCUUGAAUUACUUGCAUUUUUGGAAGUUACAUCAAAUCCUUGGUGGACUGAGGCAAAAUAUAAAGGAAAUAUGGAGAAAACAGGCAGAAAGAAAAUGAUCCCACAGAAAAAGAAAGAAUUGCAGGGAAAAACAAAGACUAAUGGAAAAUUUCCCUCUUUGGUUGGAUGCACUUGGUUGCCACCAGUUCCAGUGACAGCUUCAGGGCCCAUUCCAACUGCUUCUUACUAGUGAAUGUCAGCUCUGUAAAAGCAAGGACUUUCCUUUGAUCACUUCAUCUCCAGCACCAAGAACAGUGCCUGGCAUGUUGAAGGCAUUCGAUAAAUAUUGUUGAAUUGAUGAAUAAAUGCAUUUUUAUGAAUUAUUCCACACAUUUAUGAAUUUUUCAGUAAUUAUUCAAUACAGUGAAUGUUAUACAAUAAAAAAUAGAUCUAUUAUCCUGAUAU
rnacentral:lncRNA from 1 species